rnacentral:lncRNA from 1 species
UGCUUAAUAAUGUAAUCUUUAAUAAGAAAUAGCUUCUAUGAGCCACUAAGUAUAUAAAGAGCUGCUCCUGGAAUCAAAGAAGACUUGAGUUCAAAUUUGACCUCAUAUACUAGUUGUGUAACCCUGAAGAAGUCACUUUUCCUCAACUAUAAAAGUUUUCUCAGCUUUAUAAAGAGGAAUAACAAUAUUCCUUCCUUUCCAGAAUUGUUUUGAGGAUAGAAUGAGUUACUAUCUACAAAGAAUUUAGCACAGUGCCUGACACAUAAAAGACAAAAUAAUAAAUGUUUCCUUCUUUCCUUCCUCCUUACCUUCCAUGUGAGUAGGAACAUACUUUUAAUUUUAGAAGGGAUCUUAGAGAUCAUCUGAUUUCCUCCUUUUAUAAAUAAGGAAACUAAAGCCCACAACCUUCCCCAACCUCACAAGGGGAGAGAGCAACAAAACAAAAUUUGAAUGCAGGUCCUCCUAAAUCCACAGUCAGUAUGCUUUCCCUUGUACCUUGCUACCUACCUAAUUCACCUUUCUGUUAUUUCACUUCCUGGAAUUGGUUUAGGGAAGAGGCAGGGUCAAGAUGACAGAGUACAAGGUCACAGCUAACAAAUUUUGAUCAAAACCUCUCUUUACAAGCAAUCACAGAAAACACCGAACAGAAUUCUGAGAGGAAAAGCCAAGAAAAAGUCAUCGUGAGUCUUUUUACCAAUUCAGAGCAAGUUAAAAAUAAAUAGAUCUACAGGCAUCCGAGUAGCACUGGUCUGAGAACAACUGGCUAAAAGCCAGAAAGGCAGACAGAGUUAACAAGGAGUAAUGGAGGAUACCAGCAGUAGCAGAAGGGAUGGAAGUAGUGACACCAGCAUCCAUGGGCAACAAGAAAAUCAUAUCUGCUGAAAAAGGUAUCCCAGAAGAACCCUGUUCUAGCAUUGGAAAAAAGCCUGGGUGAUCUUUGAAGUAUCUGUUGCCUGUUACCCAUUAUCCACUAUCAGGGCAGAGAGGAGGGCUUACAAUCUUAUGGUAGGAGGACCACAGCACAGUCCAGAGUGGGGAGGGACCAGACUUCUCUCUGGAUCGCAGCAGUUUGGAGAUACCCAAAAUCUACAGACCCCCAGACUGAGCUGGGAAAGCAGAAGGCCAUGAAAGAAUGUAUUUCAGAUCAUAAUAAUAUAACUGCAACAAAUGCUCUAUCUAAGCUGGCAACCCUGGUUCUUCAGCAUCUAACACGAAGCAUUCAACACAGCAGGAGUAAAAUAAAUAUUUGUUGAAUUGAACCAUGGAAGUGCUAAGUUAAAAGCCUUGUCUGUCUAGAUUUCAGUCUGUAUGUGACAACCGGCCACCUCCCUUUCCAAGACAGAAGGAA